UCACGUGUAAUAUUUAUUUAAAUUAUUUAAAAUAAACUAACACUGUUAUCAUCAUCUCCGUCUUUCUUUCUUUUUUCUUUUUUUCAAUCUCUAUUUUUGUUGUGCCUCUAACAACAAUCCACCGGAUUCAAUUCCCUGUGACCUUCAUCACCUUGUUCGGAUUUGAAUCUUGCGGCGGCCAACGACCAUACGACUAACGCCGAUAAGGACAGUUUGAUGUUUGCUAUCAGAUUCACAGCAGCGACGGACGAACGAACACGGAGCGGGAUAGAGAUUUCCCUGGUGCCGGAUGGAACAAUAUAGGAAUUGAUUGAGGAAGCGGAGAAGAUGAAUAACAUCAUAUCUACCCAUCGGAAACAUAACGCCAGAGUCAAGGAGAAGAAGUGUUGAGCAUAUUGUUGUAGAAAUAUUUCAUUCUUAUUAUAGUCUGCUGAGUUUCUUUUUAAUUUGUUUUUUAGUUGCAACAGUGGGGAAUUGGAUUAUGGCACAUUUGAUUGAUUUUUCACAAGAUGUUUUAUAGGACAAUUAUAAUUUUCACCUGCACUGCAACUAUGGUGAAAGUAAGAUUGUAGCAGAAUUGUGAUAAGGAUGAAUGAUGAAAGGGG
rnacentral:lncRNA from 1 species